rnacentral:lncRNA from 10 species
UUGAAAUAGCCUUAUUAAGAGGAAGUACAAGCCUCUGGUGCCGGAGCUGCUCAGAUUUUGUUUUCAACCUCCACUUCUGACUAUCUGUGUAAUCUUGGGAUGAAUUCACGCUUCUCAACAUCUAAGCCUUCGGCACACCCUUUGGUGGAAUUCAAAGUUUCUGCGGAGCAGAGAGCAGUAAUUAACAGUGAGACCUUAUGAUGAGCAAAUCACAGAAGCACAACUCUGAAGUAAGUCACCUAAGGCCACGCAGCUAGGAGAUAAAUGAAUCAACAUUGAAACCCAAUUUUGUUGCUUAGUAUCCCACAUUCUCAAACUAUAUUAUCUGUCCUUAUUGUGAAUAAAAAGUGUUCUUAUUAACACUACAUUCUUGGCUCAGUGCUAAGCUCUGUGGCCCAUUGUCCAGCACUUGACCAGGUCCCCGGCAGGCACUGAGCCAUUUGAUGCAGAGGAAUGCUGAGCAGCGUGAGGCCAGGCAGGCCCAACUGGCCAGGUGACGCCUGGCCAGAUGGUUCCUCCCCCCGGCGCCCCCAGAGGCCACUAUUGAAAACCUGAAAGAGACAAAAAGCCUGUGGAAUCCUCCAAGGGGACCAGAUGCUGCUUAGGGAAAACCUCUCCACACUGUGGCAUCAGGGAACGGGUGGUGCAAGAGAAGCUUCAAGAAUGAUGAACAGAACAAGAAACUGCCUCACUUGACAAUAAAAUAAAUGCCCACCACCUCCUGUUUCCUCGUUAAUGAUUAUUAAAAUGAUCCUGGUACAAGAUUAAUAUUAAAAACUGAUGCUUAGUAAUAAACUUCUCACAGCUAUCUUCAAGAUUUCCAGGGAGUAAUAGCUGAAAGGGAAAACUGAACAAGAGGAGUCUUCCUGUGUGUUGUAGUGCCUGGGUGUGUAUUUCUUUCCACUGCUAGUACUUUUGUUGGCAAAUAGUGCACGCUGUUGGAGCCUAUCCCCCAGACCUUAAGUAGGGGCAGUGGGUCGUGUGGGAUGGAGCCCUAUCAAAUGGGGCUGGACUCUGGUUUUGUCUGCUGUGACCCCGGGGGUGCCCGCUGGGAUCUGUGAGCAGGCAGAGGCCGGUGGGAGCACCCUCCGCCUCCCUUUGUUCCGCCGGGCUCCAGCCUGCAGCAGCUGAUCCGGUUAUUAUGCUCCUGAAAAGAAUUUCUAGGUGGCCACAGUGACCAUAAGGAGCAGAGAAACCACGAGGGCUGCAAGCCACGAAGAGCAACACAUCGGCUAUUGAGCACUAAUCCCACCCAUAAUUAGAGGAUCCCUUCAGCCUUGUGGUGCUCACAGAAAUCUGAACUAAGGCAGAGAGGAGCCGUCUGAGGUCUGUAGGCCACCGUUUACCAAAUGUGCUGUCAUCAGCGCAAUUAGCUUAUUUGGUGGGAUCGGCGUUUUAAAAAGAAAAACAGAAAGCUGUAUAGAACAUAGACUUGGGGCAAAAACUGAAUUUAAGAUGUAGUUAAAGUCACCUUUGAUUUCUCAGCUUCCUUCCCCCACCCCAUUCUUAAAAUCAUGCAUUUUAAUGAAAAUUUGAUCUGCGUGGGUCUGAUUUGUUUACUUGGGACUCAUCCAAAUGCUGUUUUGUAAGAGCGAUUUCAUAUCUAACAGAUUUGCAUAACUUGGGCUAUACUUCUCAGAAAGAAAAACUCAUGUUGGGCCCUAAAUGAACAGAUUUAUCGCUCUGAGACUUGUCCAGGCUUUACGGUGGCAGUUGCUCUCUGCCUACUCUGCUCUCCCUUGUCUUCAUCCCAGGCAUCCCAAGGUUUCUGCUAUACUAAAGAAAAGCUGCGCCCAUCAUCUGAAUCUAACCUUCGUGGGUGCUCAGGAACCUGUCACCUGUUCUAAAAUUCCACCUGCUAUUUUAAUUCACCACAUGCCGCCCGUUGGCUAAGUGGAAGAAAAUGAACAUCUGAUCACAAAGUCACUAAUUAUGUUUAAUUACUGGCUAAAAUAUUAACUUUCAAAAAGGAAGAUAACUUUUGAAAGUGAUAUGAAUUCACCACUGUUGUAAUCUAUUUAAAUUCAUGUGUUACAAAUAAAUUACAAGAGAGAGGAAGA